CUACUGUGGGUGUUUCUCUGGCAGUGUCUUAGCUGGUUGUUGUGAGGAGUGAGAACGAAGCAAUCAGCAAGUAUACUGCCGCAGAAACUCUCGC
rnacentral:pre_miRNA from 10 species